rnacentral:rRNA from 1 species
GACGAACGCUGGCGGCGUGCUUAACACAUGCAAGUCGAGCGAGGGGCUUCGGCUCCUAGCGGCGAACGGGUGAGUAACACGUGGGCAACCUGCCCCGAGCUCUGGAAUAACCUCGGGAAACCGGGGCUAAUGCCGGAUAUGACGCUACCGGGCAUCUGGUGGUGUGGAAAGAUUUAUCGGCUCGGGAUGGGCCCGCGGCCUAUCAGCUUGUUGGUGGGGUGAUGGCCUACCAAGGCGACGACGGGUAGCCGGCCUGAGAGGGCGACCGGCCACACUGGGACUGAGACACGGCCCAGACUCCUACGGGAGGCAGCAGUGGGGAAUAUUGCGCAAUGGGCGAAAGCCUGACGCAGCGACGCCGCGUGGGGGAUGACGGCC